AACACAUGCAAGUCGAACGAUGAUAGAGAGCUUGCUUUUCUUGAUUAGUGGCGCACGGGUGAGUAAUGCAUAGAUAAUGUGCCCCUUAGUUCGGGAUAGCCACUGGAAACGGUGAUUAAUACCGGAUACUCCUUCUUGUUAUAAGACAAGUCGGGAAAGUUUUUCGCUAAGGGAUCAGUCUAUGUUCCAUCAGCUUGUCGGUGAGGUAAUGGCUCACCAAGGCUAUGACGGAUAUCUGGUUUGAGAGGAUGAUCAGACACACUGGAACUGAGACACGGUCCAGACUCCUACGGGAGGCAGCAGUGAGGAAUAUUGCACAAUGGAGGAAACUCUGAUGCAGCAACGCCGCGUGGAGGAUGACGCAUUUCGGUGUGUAAACUCCUUUUAUUAGGGAAGAUAAUGACGGUACCUAAUGAAUAAGCACCGGCUAACUCCGUGCCAGCAGCCGCGGUAAUACGGAGGGUGCAAGCGUUACUCGGAAUCACUGGGCGUAAAGGGUGCGUAGGCUGGCUUUUAAGUCAGAUGUGAAAUCCAAUGGCUCAACCAUUGAACUGCAUUUGAAACUGAAAGCCUAGAGUUCAGAAGGGGCAGAUGGAAUUAGUGGUGUAGGGGUAAAAUCCGUAGAUAUCACUAGGAAUAUCAAAAGCGAAGGCGAUCUGCUGGGAUGAUA
rnacentral:rRNA from 1 species